GCCUCUAUGGCUCAGUGGUAGAGCAUCUCACUUGUAAUGAGAAGGUCCGUCGUUCGAUCCGGCGUGGAGGCU